rnacentral:rRNA from 1 species
UGGGGAAUAUUGGACAAUGGGCGAAAGCCUGAUCCAGCCAUGCCGCGUGUGUGAAGAAGGUCUUCGGAUUGUAAAGCACUUUAAGUUGGGAGGAAGGGCAGUAAGCGAAUACCUUGCUGUUUUGACGUUACCGACAGAAUAAGCACCGGCUAACUCUGUGCCAGCAGCCGCGGUAAUACAGAGGGUGCAAGCGUUAAUCGGAAUUACUGGGCGUAAAGCGAGCGUAGGUGGUUCGUUAAGUUGAAUGUGAAAGCCCCGGGCUCAACCUGGGAACUGCAUCCUAAACUGGCGCGCUAGAGUAGGGGAGAGGGUGGUGGAAUUUCCUGUGUAGCGGUGAAAUGCGUAGAUAUAGGAAGGAACACCAGAAGCGAAGGCGACCACCUGCGCUCAUACUGACACUGAGGUGCGAAAGCGUGGGGAGCAAACAGG